rnacentral:rRNA from 1 species
AGUGAACGCUGGCGGUAGGCCUAACACAUGCAAGUCGAACGGCAGCACAGGAGAGCUUGCUCUCUGGGUGGCGAGUGGCGGACGGGUGAGGAAUACAUCGGAAUCUACUCUGUCGUGGGGGAUAACGUAGGGAAACUUACGCUAAUACCGCAUACGACCUACGGGUGAAAGCAGGGGACCUUCGGGCCUUGCGCGAUUGAAUGAGCCGAUGUCGGAUUAGCUAGUUGGCGGGGUAAAGGCCCACCAAGGCGACGAUCCGUAGCUGGUCUGAGAGGAUGAUCAGCCACAAUGAAACUGGGACACGGUCCAGACUCCUACGGGAGGCAGCAGUGGGGAAUAUUGGACAAUGGGCGCAAGCCUGAUCCAGCCAUACCGCGUGGGUGAAGAAGGCCUUCGGGUUGUAAAGCCCUUUUGUUGGGAAAGAAAUCCAGCUGGCUAAUACCCGGUUGGGAUGACGGUACCCAAAGAAUAAGCACCGGCUAACUUCGUGCCAGCAGCCGCGGUAA